GUCUUGUAAUUGGAAUGAUGGUGACGUAAAAUCUCACCAGAGUAACAAUUGGAGGGCAAGUCUGGUGCCAGCAGCCGCGGUAAUUCCAGCUCCAAUAGCGUAUAUUAAACUUGUUGCAGUUAAAAAGCUCGUAGUUGAAUUUCUGCGUUGCCCGACUCGGCUACUUGCCUUGUCUGGUUUCGCUUUUGGGGUUUUCCCCUUUUUACUUUGAGAAAAUUAGAGUGUUUCAAGCAGACUUGUGUCUUGAAUACUUCAGCAUGGAAUAAUAAAGUAGGACUUUGGUUCUAUUUUGUUGGUUUGUGAACCUUAGUAAUGGUUAAUAGGAACGGUUGGGGGCAUUCGUAUUUAACUGUCAGAGGUGAAAUUCUUAGAUUUGUUAAAGACGAACUACUGCGAAAGCAUUUGCCAAGGACGUUUUCAUUAAUCAAGAACGAAAGUUAGGGGAUCGAAGACGAUCAGAUACCGUCGUAGUCCU
rnacentral:rRNA from 1 species